rnacentral:rRNA from 1 species
CCUACGGGACGCAGCAGUGGGGGAUAUUGCACAAUGGGGGGAACCCUGAUGCAGCGACGCCGCGUGGGUGAAGGAGCGUUUCGGCGCGAAAAGCCCUAUCGGCAGGGAAGAAGAUGACGGUACCUGACCAAGAAGCCCCGGCUAACUACGGGCCAGCAGCCGCGGUAAUACGUAGGGGGCAAGCGUUAUCCGGAUUUACUGGGGUGAAAGGGGGCGCAGACGGCAAUGAAAGCCGGGAGAGAAAGCCCGGGCCCCAACCC